rnacentral:rRNA from 1 species
AGAGUUUGAUCCUGGCUCAGAUUGAACGCUGGCGGCAGGCUUAACACAUGCAAGUCGAGCGGAGAUGAGGUGCUUGCACCUUAUCUUAGCGGCGGACGGGUGAGUAAUGCUUAGGAAUCUGCCUAUUAGUGGGGGACAACAUUCCGAAAGGAAUGCUAAUACCGCAUACGUCCUACGGGAGAAAGCAGGGGAUCUUCGGACCUUGCGCUAAUAGAUGAGCCUAAGUCGGAUUAGCUAGUUGGUGGGGUAAAGGCCUACCAAGGCGACGAUCUGUAGCGGGUCUGAGAGGAUGAUCCGCCACACUGGGACUGAGACACGGCCCAGACUCCUACGGGAGGCAGCAGUGGGGAAUAUUGGACAAUGGGGGGAACCCUGAUCCAGCCAUGCCGCGUGUGUGUAGAAGGCCUUAUGGUUGUAAAGCACUUUAAGCGAGGAGGAGGCUACUGAGACUAAUACUCUUGGAUAGUGGACGUACUCGCAGAAUAAGCACCGGCUAACUCUGUGCCAGCAGCCGCGGUAAUACAGAGGGUGCGAGCGUUAAUCGGAUUUACUGGGCGUAAAGCGUGCGUAGGCGGCUUUUUAAGUCGGAUGUGAAAUCCCCGAGCUUAACUUGGGAAUUGCAUUCGAUACUGGGAAGCUAGAGUAUGGGAGAGGAUGGUAGAAUUCCAGGUGUAGCGGUGAAAUGCGUAGAGAUCUGGAGGAAUACCGAUGGCGAAGGCAGCCAUCUGGCCUAAUACUGACGCUGAGGUACGAAAGCAUGGGGAGCAAACAGGAUUAGAUACCCUGGUAGUCCAUGCCGUAAACGAUGUCUACUAGCCGUUGGGGCCUUUGAGGCUUUAGUGGCGCAGCUAACGCGA